AGCGAACGCUGGCGGCAGGCCUAACACAUGCAAGUCGAACGGACCCUUCGGGGUUAGUGGCGGACGGGUGAGUAACACGUGGGAACGUGCCUUUAGGUUCGGAAUAGCUCCUGGAAACGGGUGGUAAUGCCGAAUGUGCCCUUCGGGGGAAAGAUUUCUCGCCUUUAGAGCGGCCCGCGUCUGAUUAGCUAGUUGGUGAGGUAAUGGCUCACCAAGGCGACGAUCAGCAGCUGGUCUGAGAGGAUGACCAGCCACAUUGGGACUGAGACACGGCCCAAACUCCUACGGGAGGCAGCAGUGGGGAAUCUUGCGCAAUGGGCGAAAGCCUGACGCAGCCAUGCCGCGUGGAUGAUGAAGGUCUUAGGAUUGUAAAAUCCUUUCACCGGUGAAGAUAAUGACUGUAGCCGGAGAAGAAGCCCCGGCUAACUUCGUGCCAGCAGCCGCCGUAACAC
rnacentral:rRNA from 1 species